UCCACCACGAGGCGGUGGGAACAGCAGC
rnacentral:sRNA from 1 species